GCGUGGCCGAAUGGUAACGCUGUCCGCUUUGUAAGCGGAUGAUUCUGGGUUCGAUUCCCAUCUGCUGCA
rnacentral:tRNA from 1 species